UUGAGCGGAGAUAUAUGGAGCUUGCUUUAUAUAACUUAGCAGCGAACGGGUGAGUAACACGUAGAUAAUCUAUCCUAUACUGGGGGAUAGCCCGAUGAAAGUUGGAUUAAUACCGCAUAUAGCUAUAUAGUUGCAUGAUUAUGUAGUGAAAGAUUUAUUGGUAUAGGAGGAGUCUGCGGCACAUUAGCUAGUAGGUGAGGUAAAGGCUUACCUAGGCGACGAUGUGUAGCCGGUCUGAGAGGAUGAACGGCCACAAUGGAACUGAGACACGGUCCAUACUCCUACGGGAGGCAGCAGUGGGGAAUAUUGCACAAUGGGGGAAACCCUGAUGCAGCAACGCCGCGUGAGUGAAGAAGGUUUUCGGAUUGUAAAGCUCUGUUAGCAGGGAAGAGGAAGGACGGUACCUGCAGAGGAAGCCACGGCUAACUACGUGCCAGCAGCCGCGGUAAUACGUAGGUGGCAAGCGUUGUUCGGAAUAACUGGGCGUAAAGGAUGCGUAGGCGGUUAAACAAGUUAUAUGUUAAAUAUAUAGGCUUAACCUGUAGAAAGCAUAUAAAACUGUUUAACUAGAGUGCAGGAGAGGUAAGUGGAAUUCCUAGUGUAGCGGUGAAAUGCGUAGAGAUUAGGAAGAACACCAGUGGCGAAGGCGACUUACUGGACUGUAACUGACGCUGAGGCAUGAGAGCAUGGGGAGCAAACAGGAUUAGAUACCCUGGUAGUCCAUGCUGUAAACGAUGGGUACUAGGUGUGGGUUGUGAAUAACAAUUCGUGCCGUC
rnacentral:rRNA from 1 species